GCCAGUGUGGUGUAGUGGUUUGAGCGAUGGACUACAACUCUGGAGAUCAGGGUUCAAUUCCCCUCUUGGCA
rnacentral:tRNA from 1 species